rnacentral:rRNA from 1 species
UACGUAGGGGGCAAGCGUUGUCCGGAUUUAUUGGGCGUAAAGAGCGCGUAGGCGGUUUGGUAGGUCCGCUGUGAAAACUCGAGGCUCAACCUCGAGACGCCGGUGGAAACCAUCAGACUAGAGUCCGGAAGAGGAGAGUGGAAUUCCUGGUGUAGCGGUGAAAUGCGCAGAUAUCAGGAAGAACACCCGUGGCUAAGGCGGCUCUCUAGUACGGUACUGACGCUGAGACGCAAAAGCGUGGGGAGCGAACAGG